rnacentral:rRNA from 1 species
AUGCUCUCACAUCAAUCAUGGACUCGUGGAGUCAGCCAUGUGGAUGAAUCUUCAGGUUCUGAAUCGUCAGAAUCCAGGCCAUCUGAUCAGACAUUGAGGGCUCAGAUUAACCACCGCUACCGCCUGUCACGCUCAAAGAGGAGUCAUUUUUACAGGAUUUGGAUGAUCCCCAUGUCUGAUGCUGACUUGUCGUAUAUGCACACUUACUUAACUCUCAAGGCUGUGGAAGGCCGAGCCAGCCGAUAUAAUAUGAUAGUGCAUUAUUUUCUGUGUGGAGAUUCAGUCAUUCAGUGUACUGUGAUAGUGGGUGGAAUUUUCUUGUUUGUAUCCUUUCAGAGUUUUGUUAGUGAGAAGCUAAAAGGAACUCCCAGUGACAUGGAAAAUAUGAGUCCAUUUCUGGAGCGACGCAAUGCAUCCUAA